UGAGGAAUAUUGGUCAAUGGACGAGAGUCUGAACCAGCCAAGUAGCGUGCAGGAUGACGGCCCUAUGGGUUGUAAACUGCUUUUGUUUGGGAAUAAUCGACAUUACGUGUAAUGUUUUGCAUGUACCAUUCGAAUAAGGACCGGCUAAUUCCGUGCCAGCAGCCGCGGUAAUACGGAAGGUCCAGGCGUUAUCCGGAUUUAUUGGGUUUAAAGGGAGUGUAGGCGGUUGGUUAAGCGUGUUGUGAAAUGUAGGAGCUCAACUUCUAGAUUGCAGCGCGAACUGUCAGACUUGAGUGCGCACAACGUAGGCGGAAUUCAUGGUGUAGCGGUGAAAUGCUUAGAUAUCAUGAAGAACUCCGAUUGCGAAGGCAGCUUACGGGAGUGUUACUGACGCUUAAGCUCGAAGGUGCGGGUAUCGAACAGG
rnacentral:rRNA from 1 species